AAAUGGUUUUACAAUUUUAACUUUAUUAUCAUUAGUACAAUAUAAAUUAUUUAGCGCAAAAAAAUGAAAACAAAUCUUGACAAACGUGUUUCAAUUGAAUGUAAAUUGAAAGUUUAACACAAUGAACACAUGUAUGGACAUUAUUCAAAGCAUUGGUCAAGUAUUAAUAUAAAUAAUACAUUGAAUACUCAACCUUUAACCUACAAUAAACGGUUAAAAAUGAACAGAUGAACAGGUAAAAAAAAGGUAAAAAAUAUAAUAAUAAUAAUGAGCUUAAAGAUGGUGAUAAAGAUGAAAGUAUUAAAAAGAUGGCAAAAAGCAAACAAAAGUUAUGACUUUACCUUACAAUGUUUAACCACUUAACUAGCAACUAUUUUUGAUGACAAAACCUUCAUACCUUUACAACUCUCCCAUCAUCAUUAUCAUCCUAUUUUUACUUCCGAUUCUUGCAUUCCUUUACCUUUCACUCUAAACGAUACAAUACAAGAAGGAAAGGAAAAAAAAUCAGCUGCAUUUGCAAUAAUAACAACAGCUUUUAAACCAAAGGGUCAAUCCUUUUGUAUUUCAAUUGACCAUCCAAAAAGGUUGACAAUGAGCUUACCAAUAAAGAUGACCUAACCUAAAAUACUAGUUUGUCACUCUUGACUGGACCAAUUGAAAUAAUCUUAAAACACUCUGCUAUUAACUUCAAUAUCAACUUAUCAAUCCAUUAAAUUGUUAACAAUACAAUCGACCAUAAAUAUCGAUCUAUCGACAUCUAAUAACAUAUGAUAGGCUAUCAAUGAUCAGCAAAUUUUUAAGAUUAUUGUCAAUGGCAAGUAAACAGUUUUAUUAUCAUUUUCAAUGUUUCAAAGCAAGUGGACAAAAAUUAGAUUCAAUUAUCGUUAAUUUAUGAUCAAGAGUCUUGUAAAUUAUCUAGAUUGGUAAUUGAAUGGAAAAGGUAAAUUGAUUUCAAGCUACUGAAGAUGGGCUUUUCAUUUUGUUGCCGUUUCGGCUGGCCCAGCAUAUUGUCACGAGUAACGUGCUAAACUACAUCUGAAUGAUCAGCUGCAGCAAAUGAGAAACCAACGUUUUAAUAAUGAUGAUAAUGAUGAUGAUAACAAGCAAUGGUUGGUGAAUCACAUAAUGUUCAGUGAAUAAUUUUUACUCAUAAUCAAAAUAUAAUGAAUAGUAAAACUUGAUAAUAACUUGGAAAAGCCAACAUUAAAUUUA